rnacentral:tRNA from 1 species
AGCAGUGUAGCACAGUGGUAAAGAGCACGGCUCGUAACCGAAAGGUUGCUGGUUCGAUUCCCCACUGGGG